CAAGAAGUGAAAUGGGACUUCUCGCUGGAUAAGCAUUUAAGUCUACAGAUUUCCCUCUAAGUACUGCAUUAGCUGCAUCCCCAAAGUGUUGCAAAUGAUGGGAGAAGGCACUUGACCAUAGGAAACUCCCCCUGGCCGCAACCCCCAAAUUCCUACCAGAUCUGACCACUGGGAUCCUGAGCCUUGGGCUGUGAAUCCCCAGUGGAAGGAGC